rnacentral:rRNA from 1 species
GACGAACGCUGGCGGCGUGCUUAACACAUGCAAGUCGAACGGAAAGGCCCUGCUUUUGUGGGGUGCUCGAGUGGCGAACGGGUGAGUAACACGCGAGUAACCUGCCCUUGACUUUGGGAUAACUUCAGGAAACUGGGGCUAAUACCGGAUAGGAGCUCCUGCUGCAUGGUGGGGGUUGGAAAGUUUCGGCGGUUGGGGAUGGACUCGCGGCUUAUCAGCUUGUUGGUGGGGUAGUGGCUUACCAAGGCUUUGACGGGUAGCCGGCCUGAGAGGGUGACCGGCCACAUUGGGACUGAGAUACGGCCCAGACUCCUACGGGAGGCAGCAGUGGGGAAUAUUGCACAAUGGGCGGAAGCCUGAUGCAGCAACGCCGCGUGCGGGAUGACGGCCUUCGGGUUGUAAACCGCUUUCGCCUGUGUCGAAGCGUGAGUGACGGUAAUGGGUAAAGAAGCACCGGCUAACUACGUG